GCGUCUAUUUCGCUUAAUUCUCUAUGACUAUAGAGAAACGGGGGAACCAACCGUAGUUAGUAAUAACUACAUGGGGUGAAUCUUGAACGAUAAUGUUCGAGUAGGGCGACUCUCACGCCCGAAUCCGUCAGCUAACCUCGUAAGCGUACCGAGAGAGGCAAC
rnacentral:sRNA from 2 species